CCUACGGGAGGCAGCAGUGGGGAAUAUUGGACAAUGGGCGCAAGCCUGAUCCAGCCAUACCGCGUGGGUGAAGAAGGCCUUCGGGUUGUAAAGCCCUUUUGUUGGGAAAGAAAAGCAGUCGAUUAAUACUCGGUUGUUCUGACGGUACCCAAAGAAUAAGCACCGGCUAACUUCGUGCCAGCAGCCGCGGUAAUACGAAGGGUGCAAGCGUUACUCGGAAUUACUGGGCGUAAAGCGUGCGUAGGUGGUUGUUUAAGUCUGUUGUGAAAGCCCUGGGCUCAACCUGGGAAUUGCAGUGGAUACUGGGCGACUAGAGUGUGGUAGAGGGUAGUGGAAUUCCCGGUGUAGCAGUGAAAUGCGUAGAGAUCGGGAGGAACAUCCAUGGCGAAGGCAGCUACCUGGACCAACACUGACACUGAGGCACGAAAGCGUGGGGAGCAAACAGGAUUAGAUACCCUGGUAGUCCACGCCCUAAACGAUGCGAACUGGAUGUUGGGUGCAAUUUGGCACGCAGUAUCGAAGCUAACGCGUUAAGUCGCCGCCUGGGGAGUACGGUCGCAAGACGUUGAAGUAGAAGAAGUAGAGCGNGNGAGNGCGAGACGACGACGAGGAGAGG
rnacentral:rRNA from 1 species